rnacentral:rRNA from 1 species
AUUGAACGCUGGCGGCAGGCUUAACACAUGCAAGUCGAGCGGGGUGAUGGUGCUUGCACUAUCACUUAGCGGCGGACGGGUGAGUAAUGCUUAGGAAUCUGCCUAUUAGUGGGGGACAACGUCUCGAAAGGGAUGCUAAUACCGCAUACGUCCUACGGGAGAAAGCAGGGGAUCACUUGUGACCUUGCGCUAAUAGAUGAGCCUAAGUCGGAUUAGCUAGUUGGUGGGGUAAAGGCCUACCAAGGCGACGAUCUGUAGCGGGUCUGAGAGGAUGAUCCGCCACACUGGGACUGAGACACGGCCCAGACUCCUACGGGAGGCAGCAGUGGGGAAUAUUGGACAAUGGGGGGAACCCUGAUCCAGCCAUGCCGCGUGUGUGAAGAAGGCCUUAUGGUUGUAAAGCACUUUAAGCGAGGAGGAGGCUCUUUUGGUUAAUACCCAAGAUGAGUGGACGUUACUCGCAGAAUAAGCACCGGCUAACUCUGUGCCAGCCGCCGCCUGUAA